AGGACACGACUUAAUGACUGCAGCUAUGUUAGAACUACACUUCGGUUACUGGUUAAGUCAUUUUAGUACUGUAUCUACUAAUUCAACGCGUUGUCUUGUAACAUCGAACGAUCAGAAGCGUGUUCAAUAUAUUUUUGUCAUUUAAUAAUUUAAAACUAUUAAAAUAUGUUUGGUUCAAAGACCGUACAGGGGAUCAGACAGUUUUCGAAAACCGUAGCAAAACAAAAAAAAAGCCUUGGAUAUAGUGAUGAUCAUGCGUAUAAAGGUCCUGGAAGUGUAAGUAUAAAAAUAACGUGUGUAUCACAUUACCCACCUUACUACUUAUAGGCUAUAUUAUUGAAUUAUAUAUUUUUAUAUGAAAUUAAAGCUAAUCAUAGGUAUUUUUGAAAUUAUUAGGUACCCACCUACAAUUUUCUCCUUCAUUAAUUAUUUUAAUUCUAAAUUUAAAACAUUAAUUUUUAAACUUGAAUAAAAUAUUCCACGGAUGGUCGGACUGACACCAAAUUCAGGCCACUGCAAUUUGUUUUGAAUGGUCCAAAAUUUUAUUUUUUUACUAUUUUAUUUAAAAUAUUAUUAUUUUAGGCAUUGAAAUACAGUUCUUGUAUGAAAAUGUUGGUAUCAAAAUAAUUAUUUAAUCAAAUACAAUAAAAUGGUUCACAGAACCGAUAUUAAAUAUAUGAAAAAUAUAAUGUUCUGAUAUUGUACCUACUGUUGUAUUAAAAAGAAUUAAGCAGUAAUAGUAUCGCAGACACCUUUACCCGUAUAUUGGGUGAGAAGUAAGGGGGGCUAAAAUUUGUAGUGCACAGUCCUAUGGUAUGAAAAAUUGAGGGAUUAUAAACAAUUUAAUUUAUAUAAGCUGGACUUUUCUAUUUGACAGUAUAAAUUUGUUUUGAAGAUUACCUCACCAUCUAACUGGUUAGCAAGAUUCCUUAGGAUCUAAGGUGAAUUUGGUAAAUUUUCUUGAUCUAUAUACCUACUUACAUGUAACCAGUUUUUCAUUGUACCCAUAACUGUAAAAGAGCAUUCACGCGUCACAGAAGAAAAUAAAAUUUAAACAUUUCAAUAUUAAUUUUUAUAUUGUUUUUUCAAGUUUUCUAAUUCAUAAAUAGCUCCUGGUAAAUUGGAGAAAUUCCCAAAAUAUCUUAAUAUAUAAACAAUAGGUAUUUAAUUUAAUAUCUCUAAAGAUAUUAUAAUUUUAUCUUUGUGUAUAAUAAAUUUAUAAAAAUUUUAAACAAUAGAUUAGUAAUUGCAGUUUAAUAUACAUUUAAAUUAACCUUGCAAGUGUUUAACUACAAUAUAUAAUAAGUGGUUUGUGAAAUAGGUAUUGAAAUUAAUUACUCAGGAAAAUUGGAAGGUACUUAUAAAUUCUAAACACCCCUUAUGUGUGCCUAUGCAUUUUAAGUGCUGUAUAUAUUAAAAUGUACAAUACUCUAAUAUGUUUGAUUUGAUUAGUUCAAAUUAAAAGCAAUAGCUAAGUGACCCUAAAAUAAAAGGGCCCAGUUAGCCCCUAUCCACUUGCACUAUGGACAGAUAAGAUGCGUAAUUUAAAUUUGAAGGACACAAUAUUUACAAUCUUAGCCAUCACUAUAGCUAUAGGUUUUAUUUCAGAUAUAUUAUACAGAACUAUAUGAAUAAUAAUCAUGCAUUUUAUCCAUCUAACUUAUUUUUUACUAAAAAGUGCAGUAAGUUUAAUAUUUUUAUCCUCUUAAAAAAAUGGAAGUUCAAGUCCUGUGUUGGAAAUAUCUAUGCACACAUCUUAUAAAUACAUUUAUUUUACAGUACCUACCCAAUAUUUCAUUUUAAAUGUUUAAUAUGUACAUUUCUAAAUUAGUUAAUUAAUUCUAUUUUUGUUUUUUACAAUUUAGAAUCUGCCGUUUGACGUUUACAACAAGUAUAAGUUCACUCUAUAUUAUACACUUUUCGUGUCUUCUGGAUUUUCUCUGCCAUUCUUAAUGGUCCAAUAUAUUAAAAAGAGAAGUGGUUAAUAUUUUUAAAAUUAGAUAUUUAAGGUAAUAAAACAUUUUCUUAAUAUUUAUUAUAAUAUGUAUAUUCAGGCUGACCCUUAUUUUUGAACUUUCGAAUUUUUGUUUCAAGACCUCCCUUUUUUUCAUUGUUACAUUAACAUAAUUUAGGUUAAAUUAUGUUAAUUUUAGUGGUGAUGACUUACCCCUACCAAUGCCGCAAAAGAGUUAAACAUUUGAGAAAGAUGGUACUUUUAUAGUUUUUUGACUUAAACUGUAAAUUAUAAUAUUGUAAUCUAUAAAAAAUGUUUCAAAUUUCUCAUAAAUUUAUUAGUUCCACAAAAAUUAUGAAAGAAAAUAUUUAAUUUAUAUGGCAAAUUAUAUUAUUUUACAGUUAUUUAAAUAUAGUUGACAAAAACCAAUAAAGAUAUAAUAAAUUAUAUUUUACACAAAAAAAGAUUAUUAAAAAAAAUUGCUUAGGAUUAACCAGUACAAUUUAUGGUAGGGUAAAACAACAAAUAAACACAAUGGUUAUAAAACUGAAAUUGUAUUUUAUUUUAAAACUUUAAUAUACUUAUUAGUAUUUAAGCAAUAAAAUUUGACCUCCAGUUUUUUUUUUUGUGUCAGAAGAAGAUGCAUGUCAAUAUUAUAGAAUAACCUAAAAAUUUUAAAUCAAUUGGAAAUAUAAAAAUAUCUAAGAUAAUAUCUUAUUACUUACAAUAAAAAUUGUUUCUAUUAUUGAUUUCUUGUGAAUUUUCAAUUUAACUCCUCCAUUAAUUGCACACCUCUUUUAUAAUUACUAUUUUUAAAGAGUUAAAGAGAUAAGUUCCUUCCCAAUAAAUAUAUUGAAUUUCUGUUCUAUUUAAUUGGUCUUCUUCAACUGAUGUAUCCAUACUUAUAAUUUUAAAUUCAAACUUUUUUUCAAAUAUCUCAUAUCAGUUCAUCAAAUACAGAAAAUGUAAUAAAUUACUCAUUUAAAUACCACAAAAGAUUUUAAAAUGUUGAUAAACAUGAUUGUACAAUAUUAUUUCAUUACAUUACCUUGUUUUUUUUUUAUUAUUAUUUACUAAACUAAUGUCCCCUUAACGUAUUCAUCUAAAAUGACUUAGUUUACUUUGAGAAAUUAAUAAUUCUCCAUCUUUUAAAAUUGUCAUAAAAUCUAAAUUCUUUUUUUGAUGAACUAUAUUAAAUUAAUCAUUGGGCAUGCCCAAUGGAUAAAACUGAUUCAAGUAAGGUAGUUAAUACAAUAACAUCAUUGAUACUAGAUAGAUUUUUUGUCAACUAUAUUUAAAUAAUUUAUUAAAAUAGUUAAUUUUGAAAAAUAAAUUAAGUAUUUUAUUUUAUUUUUCUUGGAAAAAAUGUAUUUACGAGUAAUUUUUGUAAGGACAUUUUUAUAUUCAAUAUUAUUAAUAAGAUUAUAUACAAGUAAUUAUACAUACAUUUACAUGCUAAGUGCUAUUUAUUUUCAGUAAAACUCAAAAAACUAUAAAACUACCCUCUAACUGCACAGGAAGGAAAUGAGUCAUUAUACUUUCUUAUAGUAAUGAAAAAAAUAUGGACGUCCUAAAACAAAAUUAUAAUUUAAAUUUUUUUCUCUUAUAACCAAGAACCAAUGUAAUGUAUAUCCUUAAGUAUUUUAUUAACAGUUGGAUUAAUUAGUUUUUUUUUUCUAGAUUGAUGAAAGUGUUACUACAUUCACUAUACCAUUCACACUUAAUUCUUCCUAUUUAUAUGUACAAUCAUAGCAAAAUAAAAAUUACAAUGUUCUUCUGUUAAAUUUAAUAAAUGGUUAUAAUAUAACAAGUACUUAUUUUAUUAAUUUUAGAAGAUCUUAUCAACCAGAUAAAAUACUUAACCAAUUAUAAAAUUAUUUUUAAUACCAAAAUACUUCACAACACUAAAUUAACUAUAAC